rnacentral:lncRNA from 1 species
GUGACCUUCUUUUCUUCAUUUUUUUCAAUUCUCUCACCGGUUGAACCAAUUACAGCCUAGCUUCAACUCUAAUGACUUUUUUUAUUUUUUUAAAAAUUACAAACACUUUGCAACAAUAAAAAUAAGCCAUUAACAAGGCUAAUUACAAUAAUUAGAACAAAAACACUUAAUCUAGAGCCAAAAUCAUAAUAUAUCCAUUUUAGUUCAAACCAAAAUUUAUCUAAUAAAUAUGAACCCACCACAUGCAAUUGGGUAAAAAUGAAGCAUGCUCUGAUACCACAUGAUAGAACUAAGUCAUGCACAGCGGAAAAAGAAUCGAAUUUCUACCCUAAUUGCCACAAUUAACAUGUAACCAUAAACUAAUCAAAUUAGGGUUUUAAGAAGUAUUACCUUUGAAGCUUUCAAAAGGUUUGAUGUCUUCUUACCAAUUCUACCCGAGACCACCACUAGUACUCAACUGCUAUCCUCUAGACAAAGAACCGGGUUGUGGGACCCAAUUUUGGUGUAGAAAAUAAUGGAGAUAAAAUGAGAUUGGAAGUUUUUUUUUUCUUUUGUUGAGAUGAUGAAAAUGAUAAAAGAGGCAAAAGUCCUUCAACAUUUGAAAACACCUCUAUUUAUAGCCUAAUUGCAUGCAAAAAUGCAUGCAAUUCAUUUGCCAAAUCUCAACACCUAAUGUUCCACUAACAAUUAGUGGAACUUAGUGGGCUAGGUGUCUAUAUCUCAUAUAGCCACAUAUCCCACUAAGAGUUAGUGGGAUUAUCCAACAAAAUGUUGGAUUUUCCCACUAACUUAGUCCAAGGGUAAAAUGGUCAUUAGAUAUUUCUAGUCAAAAGUCAAAAGUCAAUAUUUUGACUUUUUACCAUUUUGUCCGUCUUGACUAAUUCCAACCUCCCGAGCAUGAAUCCGCAUUCAUUUUUCCAAAAUUCAAAUCACAUUUGAAUAUAAGGCCGGUCAAAGUUUGACUUUUCAAAGUCAAAAGUCAACAUUUUGACUUUUUACUAUUUUUGACCAAUUCCGAGCUUCUUAGUAUGAAUCCGCAUUCAUACUUAUAGUAUGUAAAACAUAAAGCUCUAUUUCUAAUUAGAAGACGACGACUAUAUCACUGUAUUUGUCGGUUUCCCUUUCUUCUCCCAAUUCGAACAAUUCGACUUAUUUCAUCACACUGUUCUAAGUUUAAUCCAUAUGAGCUAGCAGAGGAACCUAAUGGACCUAUAGAUCAUGGGCUCCAACGAUUCAAGAUUAACUAGCUAAACUCUUUUAAACCGAGUUAAUCAACAUUCGUUAACUAACGGGUCAUUCCACUAAAGUCCCGUAGUUGCACUCCCCUCACUAUAGAUAUAUUUGUGUCCAUUUGAUAAAACCAUAAUCAGUAAGUUAAUCCUUCACAGGUUGCUCGUAACCUUGGCUGGGUCAAAAUACCGUUUUACCCCAAGAUUACAUCUUGCUCCUUAAGUCCCACUAAUCCACUAUUGAACAAUUGGUUUAAGGUUCAACCUAUAAACUUAAUCCCUCUCGGGCCAAUGAGAGGGUGGGGCCCCUUGUUCAAGACUUGGAUUCAGUGCUUAAGAGAGCAACCUAUCUACUAACCCUAAAGCGGGUAGGAGUGAAUUCCAUCUUGUACCCUAUGUUCCCAGCUAUCCACCCGAUCUUACCCCUGAAAUGGGAGGCUUAUUGGGCCAACGCUGAUGAGCUGCCCUCACCUAUGCAGAUCUAAGGAUAAUCUCGUGUGAACAGGAGUUCAUAGUUAACUCAGGAUUAAGACUAAGUUACCUAGGUCAUCAAUAAUUGAGAUAGUCAGUUUUAAACAGUAAACGGUGUUAUAACGUAAAAAAGACUAAUUCAUGGUUCAGUCUUAUGUAAACAUUUUACAUAGGAUGCCCCCACUUUCAUGUCUCUACAUGAACGAUUAGGAUCACCUCGUUUGCACUACAAAGUGGGCCGCAUCCAUAGUUUCUCUAAAUAAGGCGCCCAACCUUUAUUUCAUAUACUAUAGACUAUUUAGGCUAUAUACUCGAACUUGAUCCACGUUUAUGUUUACACAUAAAGUUCAAGUUUAUUCAAAAAAUAGCCUUGGAACUUGAUUUAUUGGAUUUAAGAUUAUAAUAUUUAAUUUCUCAAUAACAACUUUAUUGAACAGAAUAUGAUUUACAAACUACGAGUUUUAGGACAAAAAAUUCCAACAGUAUGAAGUCGAAUAUUCUGCAAAGAAAGUAAGGAAAUCGGUGUUCUGGUCUAACACAAGUACGAGUAAAAAUACUAUAAGGAUGAAGUGUAUCGCUUACAUACCCUAUUAUUUGGAGGAAUGUCGAUGAUGAAAUGAAAAAACAAGAUUCAUUAAAAUGAAUGAGAAAAUGAUCUUAUUUUAUUUUUAAAAAAUGUUGUGCCUCAGAGGAGUUGAAUCUGUUCGAUGUAACGAACUGAAUCUAUUAGUAGAAACAUCAAUACAAAUUAUGCAGCAAAGUAUAUAUAGGGUUGUAAAUGCAAACAAAAUAAGCAUACAACAUCAACACAUAAAAAUCAAACAGUCAUACAACAUCGACACAAAAAAUAUAUAUCAAACAAUCAUACAACAUCAACAUCAACAUCAACAUCCCUUAAAAUGGCUAUGGAUAGUAAACAUGAGAUGACAUGAAAGAAAUCAUGAAAAGUAUGAAAUGGCAGUGGAUAAGGUUUUAUGUAUAAGAAGGUAUAUCCUUCAAAUAAUGAAGAAAUUCAUGACCCAUAAUAUGCCUUAAACAUAACAGAUCGGAAUUGAACAGUAAGGACAGACAUGCACAUUCUUGUUAACAUAGAUAUGACAAAAGAAAAAAGAAGGACAAAUGGAACUUCAAAAGAAUAAAAGAAAAUGAAUUUACCUACCAAAUGAAGAAAGAACAGAGGAGGAAGCAAGGAAAACAACACAUAAUAAAAUACAACAAAUGAAGUGCUAUAUAUAGAGGGAUAGAUGGUCAAGUAUGCCUUUAUUGACCCAUACCAAAAAAAUAAAAGAAGGGAACCUCUUUAAAUGACAGAAGUGUACAGAAAAGAGGAGGACAUAGUCAAAACCUACCACAUUAAGACAAAGAUAAGCUAUGAAUAGACAAAUGCAUAACCAAGGAAAAUGAUUGAACACAGACAGUGCAAUGUUAUGGAUUGAUGAGAUUUGCUUACAAAUAAAGAGAAUAAAACAGAACAGACAGUUGCUUGCAAAUAAAGAGAGCAGACUUCACAGCAACUCAACAUCAUAAGGCAUCUUAAUUGCAAGUAAACUGAAACUGUAAACAUAGUUACUCAAAUGUCAAAUGUCAAAAGAAAUAAAUAUGACAACAUAUUUCUUAGUGUCAAAAGAAAUAAAUAUGACAACAUAUUUCUUAGGGCACCAAUUAAAAAACAUGCCUGAAAAUGCAGUGUUCAGAUUGCUAAACAUCGUAGCAACAAGAAAUUCAAACAAACAAAACUAAUCAAAAACAUGAAAAACAAGGACAACAUUGUAGUUUCAGACGGGGAUGGCCAAAAAUGAAAAAAUAUGGAAGGACAUUGAAGUAAGAAACAAAACUACUUACGAAUAAUUUUCCAGACAAGCACAUAAACAAAAGUAAUUACAAAUAAUUAUGAAUUCAAAGAAACAAAACUAAUCAAAAACAUGGAAAAUAAACAACAUUGUAGUUUCAAAGAGGAUGCCCAAAAAUGAAAAAACAUGAACGUAAAUUGAAGUAAGAAACAAAACUACUUCAAAUAAUUUUUCAGAGAAGCACAUAAACAAAAGUAAUUACGAAUAAUUAUGAAUUUAAACAAACAAAACUAAUCAGAAACAUGAAAAACAAACAACAACAUUGCAGUUUCAAACAGGGAUGACCGAAUAUGAAAAAUUGGAAGUAAAUUGAAGAAAAAAACAAAAACAAUUACAAAUAAUUAUUCAGACAAGUACAUAAACAGAAUUAAUCACAAAUAAUUAUUCAGACAAUACAUAAGUGUAAUCCUUAUCAUCAGCUUCGAUAGAAACUCAAAAUCCAACCACUUACCUCCAACCCUACCUUGCUCAAACAUCCCAAUUGCAGAAGAUGAUAGUAACGAUAGUGUAGGAAGUGUCCAAAUCAGAGAGAAAAAAAUACUCGAUCGGCAAAUGGGAGUCCAAGCGGCAAGGGGAAGUGGAAGGGGAAAACUGAGUCGGAAUUGCAUGUUCACCAAGAAGAGUGGUGAACAUGCAAGCGAUUGAGUUUCGGAGGUAAAGUGCAAAACUCGGUCGUUCAACAAAAUCAAAAGGGAUACCCAUUUGUUUCGGAGGCAACGCUGUGAGCGAAGCCUUCAACGAAACUUGGGAGACGACGAGUAGGAGAGAAACAAAAUUAAGAAAUUUUAAUCUGUUUUUAAACUUUUAAAAAUGGUUCAAAAGUUCUAUAAGUUAGUUUUGUAUGAAAACUAUUAAAAUUUUGUUUCAAAAGUAUCCUCCAACUAUUCAAAAUUUUCAUAAACACUCUUAAACUUAUAAAAAAUUCAAAAAUACUUUCAUUUAUCUAAUUUUUAAACAAAAUUUCUUAUCCCUCAAAAUAAAAAUCAAAACUUUAAGUUAAAACUAUAGUUUUAAAUUUUCAUCCAUAUGUAGGCAUUUCUAUCGAUAUUUUCACAUUUUCAUGUGUUUGAUAUUGAUAGUAAUGAAGCAAUAUUUCCAUUACACCAUAGAAAAAUGCACAAAUCACAACAAAUAAACAUAAAAAUAACACUAAUAUAAAAUAUAAAUAAUAGACAUGUUUACUUAUUUGAAAAUAAUAAAAUAUUUAUUUACUAAUUUAAAAUUAUUAUUUUUUAAUUAUUGUUUUUAUAAUAAUUUUUCAAAAAUAUCUAUCGAAAUCAAAAUUUAUGUAAUAUCAAGACUUCAAUAUAUCAGUCAACAUUCAUAUCUUAAACAUGAUUUAAACCAUACAAUUUUACAAAAUUUCACGAAGUUUUCUCGUUAAAACAAUUACUAGUCAAAUAAAAAACAUCUCACGUUGAGAGAUCUAUCAGACUAUCACUAUAUGUUAAUAGUCAUAUACAUUUUGUUAUUUGACAAUGGUACAACAAUAACUAUUGAGAAGGGUUAUGUUUGUGAUCUAUGAUUAUGGGUUAAUAGUCAGAUAAAAAUAAAACUAUAGUUUUAAUUUAAAAUUUUUAUUUUUAUUUUAUAAAUUGGUGCAAAAUUUGGAGAUUAUCUUUUAACUUUUUUUUUUUUUUUGAAGCAUAAGGGUAUUAUAUUUUUUAAAACUUUUUAAUAGUUGAGGGUUAUUUUUUAGGAAAAUUGCAUAGGAUGACAUUUUGAGAAUAUAAUAUAACAAUUAUAGCACAUUGUUUUAGAAUUUUGCAAAUAUGGUAAAAUUUUUACUUCUUCAUCUUAAAUUUGACAUUAUUUCUAAACUACCAUUCAAUAACUUAUUUUUCUUCCUCUUUUUAAUGUCCUACUCAUUAUUUAUUUAUGCUCCCACUUUUUAAGGCCCUAAUUACUUGUUUAUUCUUAUACUAGAAAAAUUAUUUAUUCUUUCUGUCUUCAUCUUAAUUUUAAAAUAUCAAUAGUACAUUAGUUUUAAUAUGAAUAAUAUAAUAUAAUGGUUGUUGAUUGGAGUAAUUUAACUUUAUUUGUGAUUUUUUUUUACUUUCUUUAUGUGUAUUUUGAGUUGAAUUUGAUUCCAAAUGAUUUUCUUUUAUUUUUUUAUAUUAAUUUUUUUGUUUUACUCUGUCUCAGUUUCGUAUGAUAGUAUUGUAGUAUACUUAUAUUAUAUGUAUUAGUUGGUUAAUAUACUUACUACGUGGUUUUCAUUUUUUCAAAUUUUAUGUAGUUUAUUAGAGUAUUAUUAAGUAUAUGAAUGAUGUAAUUCAAUAUAUCAUUAUCAAGUAUAUCAACAAUAUAUUGUUAAAACAUAUCAGUAAAGUGAAUCAUUAACAAGUAUAUGAAUCGAGUUUACAAGUGUAUAUCGAUAGCAUAUCAAGUGUAUAAGUAGGACUUCAAGCAUAUCAAGUUCAUUUAAUCAAUCAAUUGUAUAAGUGGAUAAUACUAAAUGUAUAUGCAAUGUAUCAGGUGUAUCAAACAUAUAUUAGCAUGUUUCGGUAUCGAGUGUAUCAAAGAGUAUCAGGUGCAUCAAGUGUAUCAAUCAAAUGUAUCAGGUGUAUCAAGAAGUAUUAGGUGUAUCAAUGGGUGUAUUAGUGAUAGAACUAAGUCAUGCACAGCGGAAAAAGAAUCGAAUUUCUACCCUAAUUGCCACAAUUAACAUGUAACCAUAAACUAAUCAAAUUAGGGUUUUAAGAAGUAUUACCUUUGAAGCUUUCAAAAGUUUGAUGUCUUCUUACCAAUUCUACCCGAGACCACCACUAGUACUCAACUGCUAUCCUCUAGACAAAGAACCGGGUUGUGGAACCCAAUUUUGGUGUAGAAAGUAAUGGAGAUAAAAUGAGAUUGGAAGCUUUCUUUUUUCUUUUGUUGAGAUGAUGAAAAUGAUAAAAGAGGCAAAAGUCCUUCAACAUUUGAAAACAUCUCUAUUUAUAGCCUAAUUACAUGCAAAAAUGCAUGCAAUUCAAUUGCCAAAUCUCAACACCUAAUAUUCCACUAACAAUUAGUGGAACUUAGUGGGCUAGGUGUCUAUAUCUCAUAUAGCCACAUAUCCCACUAAGAGUUAGUGGGAUUAUCCAAC